rnacentral:rRNA from 1 species
AUCAACCGAGAUUCCGGUAGUAGCGGCGAGCGAACCUGGAUUAGCCCUUAAGCACUCGGUGAAGUAGGUGAACAAGCUGGAAAGCUUGGCGAUACAGGGUGAUAGCCCCGUAACCGACGCUUCAUCGAGCGUGAAAUCGAGUAGGGCGGGACACGUGAUAUCCUGUCUGAAUAUGGGGGGACCAUCCUCCAAGGCUAAAUACUCCUGACUGACCGAUAGUGAACCAGUACCGUGAGGGAAAGGCGAAAAGA